rnacentral:rRNA from 1 species
CCUACGGGAGGCAGCAGUGGGGAAUAUUGCACAAUGGGCGAAACCCUGAUGCAGCGACGCCGCGUGAGCGAAGAAGUAUUUCGGUAUGUAAAGCUCUAUCAGCAGGGAAGAAAAUGACGGUACCUGACUAGGAAUCUCCGGCUAAUUACUUGCCAGCAGCCGCGGUAAUACGUAGGGAGCAAGCGUUAUCCGGAUUUACUGGGUGGAAAGGGAGCGGAGGCGGUAAGGCAAGUCAGAUGUGAAAGGCCAGGGCUCAACCCUGGUACUGCAUUGGAAACUGGUUAACUGGAGUGUGGGAGAGGCAAGUGGAAUUCCGGGUGUAGCGGUGAAAUGCGUAGAUAUACGGAGGAACACCAGUGGCGAAGGCGGAUUGCUGGACGAUGACUGACGCUGAGGCGCGAAAGCGUGGGGAGCAAACAGGAUUAGAUACCCCAGUAGUC